GGGCGGAUGGGGCAGCUCACCAUCUCCUUGCUGCCACCGCUGUGGGAAGAGCUGACAACUUCCCCAGCCUGUGCCCUCCCAGCCCAGAAGGGACCCCAAGCCUCCAUCCCAAACCUUCGGAGCACCCGCUGGACCAUCUCCCAUAGCCAAGGAGCACCUCAUCAGCACUGUCACCUUUACCAAGAAAACUUGCAAUCAAAUCAAAAAGAUACCAACUCAGCCUGACGAGGAGGAGAGAACCUUAGCCCUCCAUCUCGCCAGCCCAGCAAUCACAGCGAUGAGCCAAGUAUCUCUGGACAGUCUUUAAUUUAUUUCCCGGCGCACACGGACACUGCUGAGAGACUUGAUGGCACCAGCUUAAACAUAAUAAAUUACUCAAGUAUCA